UUUUUAAAGAGCAAAAUUUCACAAUGCACUUCUCAGUACAUUUUGAAAUUUAUCAUUCAUCAGACAAUCUGUGUGGACACUACAAAGGCAGGUUCUUUCAGGUAAGGAGGUGAUCCAACCGCAGGUUCCCCUACGGUUACCUUGUUACGACUUCACCCCAGUCAUGAAUCACAAAGUGGUAAGCGCCCUCCCGAAGGUUAAGCUACCUACUUCUUUUGCAACCCACUCCCAUGGUGUGACGGGCGGUGUGUACAAGGCCCGGGAACGUAUUCACCGUAGCAUUCUGAUCUACGAUUACUAGCGAUUCCGACUUCAUGGAGUCGAGUUGUGAACUCGAAGAGUAGGGCGGGACACGUGGUAUCCUGUCUGAAUAUGGGGGGACCAUCCUCCAAGGCUAAAUACUCCUGACUGACCGAUAGUGAACCAGUACCGUGAGGGAAAGGCGAAAAGAACCCCGGCGAGGGGAGUGAAAAAGAACCUGAAACCGUGUACGUACAAGCAGUGGGAGCCUACUUGUUAGGUGACUGCGUACCUUUUGUAUAAUGGGUCAGCGACUUAUAUUCUGUAGCAAGGUUAACCGUAUAGGGGAGCCGCAGGGAAACCGAGUCUUAACUGGGCGUUAAGUUGCAGGGUAUAGACCCGAAACCCGGUGAUCUAGCCAUGGGCAGGUUGAAGGUUGGGUAACACUAACUGGAGGACCGAACCGACUAAUGUUGAAAAAUUAGCGGAUGACUUGUGGCUGGGGGUGAAAGGCCAAUCAAACCGGGAGAUAGCUGGUUCUCCCCGAAAGCUAUUUAGGUAGCGCCUCGUGAAYUCAUCUUCGGGGGUAGAGCACUGUUUCGGCUAGGGGGUCAUCCCGACUUACCAACCCGAUGCAAACUACGAAUACCGAAGAAUGUUAUCACGGGAGACACACGGCGGGUGCUAACGUCCGUCGUGAAGAGGGAAACAACCCAGACCGCCAGCUAAGGUCCCAAAGUCAUGGUUAAGUGGGAAACGAUGUGGGAAGGCACAGACAGCCAGUGGAGGUAUCAGAAGUGCGAAUGCUGACAUAAGUAACGAUAAAGCGGGUGAAAAGCCCGCUCGCCGGAAGACCAAGGGUUCCUGUCCAACGUUAAUCGGGGCAGGGUGAGUCGACCCCUAAGGCGAGGCCGAAAGGCGUAGUCGAUGGGAAACAGGUUAAUAUUCCUGUACUCGGUGUUACUGCGAAGGGGGGACGGAGAAGGCUAUGUUAGCCGGGCGACGGUUGUCCCGGUUUAAGCAUGUAGGCGGGAAGUUUAGGUAAAUCCGGACUUCUUUUAACGCUGAGGUGUGAUGACGAGGCACUACGGUGCUGAAGUAACAAAUGCCCUGCUUCCAGGAAAAGCCUCUAAGCAUCAGGUAACAACGAAUCGUACCCCAAACCGACACAGGUGGUCAGGUAGAGAAUACCAAGGCGCUUGAGAGAACUCGGGUGAAGGAACUAGGCAAAAUGGUGCCGUAACUUCGGGAGAAGGCACGCUGAUGGUARGUGAAGCGACUUGCUCGUGGAGCUGAAAUCAGUCGAAGAUACCAGCUGGCUGCAACUGUUUAUUAAAAACACAGCACUGUGCAAACACGAAAGUGGACGUAUACGGUGUGACGCCUGCCCGGUGCCGGAAGGUUAAUUGAUGGGGUUAUCCGUAAGGAGAAGCUCUUGAUCGAAGCCCCGGUAAACGGCGGCCGUAACUAUAACGGUCCUAAGGUAGCGAAAUUCCUUGUCGGGUAAGUUCCGACCUGCACGAAUGGCGUAAUGAUGGCCAGGCCAAUGGCAUUGCCCGGUAGCUAAAUGCGGAAAAGAUAAGUGCUGAAAGCAUCUAAGCACGAAACUUGCCCCGAGAUGAGUUCUCCCUGACCCUUUAAGGGUCCUGAAGGAACGUUGAAGACGACGACGUUGAUAGGUCGGGUGUGUAAGCGUAGCGAUACGUUGAGCUAACCGAUACUAAUGAACCGUGAGGCUUAACCUUACAACGCCGAAGCUGUUUUGGCGAAGAGACGAAAUGUUCAGCUUGAUKACAGAUUAAAUCAUCRCGCAGGAAUGCGGGGUGAAACAGAAUUUGCCUGGCGGCGAUAGCGCGGUGGUCCCACCUGACCCCAUGCCGAACUCAGAAGUGAAACGCCGUAGCGCCGAUGGUAGUGUGGGGUCUCCCCAUGUGAGAGUAGGGAACUGCCAGGCAUCAAACACGCGAAGAAACCUCAUGCGAAAGCAUGGGGUUUUUUUGUUUGUCUGCUGUUUGCCAUAAACAGCCAGGCAUCAAAUCAGUCAGAAGCCCGUCCUCACCGACGGGCUUUUUGCGUUUUAACGCGCGUCAUAACGCAAAUGAAGCAGCGGAUAGGGUCGGCCAU
rnacentral:rRNA from 1 species